ensembl:lncRNA
GUUUUUUAUAUAUUUUUUGCAAGUCUGAAAAAAUGAAAUUAAGUCAUUCAGUGUUAGCCAACAACAGCUCAUAUAAAUCAGAGUCUCAGUUUCUUCAGAUUGGCUUAUGAAGGAAGAAGCUGCAUGAAGUUAUUGAGCUGCCAUGUUUCCUAAUUCUUUAACUUCUUCCUGCAGGAUCACAGCAGCAGAUAUAGCCUCAAACGUAAUGAUCACAAAGAGAGUGAGAAGAGCAAAAUAGAAAUGGCACACUGCAGUGAGUAAGUGUGAUUCAUUCAGAUCUCAUCUACGUCUCACAGCAGAAGAGCAACGAGACCCGCAGAUACCUGAAAACAGUAAACGGUGGCAUGGACUGCUGUCUGUAAAUCCUCCGACACAUUAAUGAUCGCUCAGACCACUUCAAUGUGAUGCUAAACAGUUUAAGUGGAAGUAAUUAUCUUGUUUCUGUCCGUUUGUUUGGCUCGAGGGCCGCCCGGAUAGACUGACUCCCUGAUAAGAUCACAGCCCGUUAGACUCUCAGUGAUGAGUAAUGAACAGUGCUUUCUGAGUAAAUAUCCACACGGACGCUUCAGACGCUCUCGGCUGUUUGAUUCACAUCAGCCGCGUUCACACUGCAGCUAAAUACAGUCCUCACUCCUGUUUUGAGUGCUUAAAUAUGUUUUGAGUUUUUGUUGCAGGAGCUAGUGACAUCUGAGUUCACAUUAAAUCUGUCUGGUGUUAACAGAGAAUCACAUUCCAUUUUAAGCAUUGCAUAUUUACAUUUGCAUAUAAACUUCUUUUCUCUCUCUUCUUUUCAGCUUUGUUGCAGCACAUGACACAUCACAUUGUUGUCACUGUGACCCAGAAGUUGACAGCUCUCAUUGAAAACAUCUCUCUUCUUCUGAAGAUGGAGUGUCUGCUGUCUUUGAAAGUAUAAGUAACGUAAUUUGCCCAUGGCUUCACGUGAAAGUCCUUCACCAGCUGUGUGACUGCCAUUGAGAAGAAUGCAAAUGCUAACAGAUGGAUGCUUUCUCCAGACAGAAAUGACCUCAAUUCCACAAGUGACUGACAUCCGCUGGCCUCCAAACACCCAGAAGCACAUGCAGCGGCGCUUUAAUGUUCUUCAGUCAGACUUAUGUUUGUUAUAAGUGUUGCUGUUUCCCAUUACCGAGGUUUCCAUCCAGAACCGACUCUAUCCUCUUAGCCUGCUUGAAUGUAUACAUUUAUUUAUGAGGCGGUCUCUGUUCAUUAACUAUAAUGUAAAUAAUCUUGACACCCGGCAGCAGAAAAAUGUCUCCCAUUGCGUGUUAUUAUGAAGCUCUGAACGGUGUGGGCAGAUAUUGAGUGUGAGGUCAGGAUCGCUGUGGAUCGGUGUGUGUGAAGCGUGUUGUGGAGGGCAAGCAGCGUGACGCCGCAGACUGUAGAGGAUCAUUACGGAGGCAGCGGCUCUCAGAAAGUGCCACAUUCAUCACACACGAUCCUUUCGGAAACCUUUUAAUGAAUCCCUUGUUUAUUUUUCACAUUUAACCGUCUGCUUAGCACGAGGGUUUGCUUUUAAGUCAGCUGAAGCUUUCAGAAGAUUUAAGAUUAAUUUGAUUUUAUUUGUUUAUUCAUUCAUUUUCAUUUAUUUUGUUUAUUUAAGCACUUCGUGUGUUAAAGGGCUUGGAUGUAUUCCUCAUUUGUCACCUUGAAUAGAAGCGUCUAAUAAAUAAAUGAAUAUAUAUGAAAGUAUAUAUAUAUAUAUAUAUAUAUAUAUAUAUAUAUAUAUAUAUAUAUAUAUAUAAAUAAUCUUUUUUUAUUUAAGCACUUCUUGUGUUUUUGCCAUAAAUAGCAUCAUGUAUAGUUCAAUAUAUGAUUAA